GACGAACGCUGGCGGCGUGCCUAACACAUGCAAGUCGAACGGAACUGUUUUGAUAGCUUUCUUCGGAAUGAAUUUGAUUUAGUUUAGUGGCGGACGGGUGAGUAACGCGUGAGUAACCUGCCUUCAAGAGGGGAAUAACAUUCUGAAAAGAAUGCUAAUACCGCAUGACAUAUCGGAACCACAUGGUUUUGCUAUCAAAGAUUUUAUCGCUUGAAGAUGGACUCGCGUCCGAUUAGUUAGUUGGUGAGGUAACGGCGCACCAAGACCGCGAUCGGUAGCCGGACUGAGAGGUUGAACGGCCACAUUGGGACUGAGACACGGCUCAGACUCCUACGGGAGGCAGCAGUGGGGGAUAUUGCGCAAGGGGGGCAACCCUGACGCAGCAACGCCGCGUGAAGGAUGAAGGUUUUCGGAUUGUAAACUUCUUUUAUUAAGGACGAAAAAUGACGGUACUUAAUGAAUAAGCUCCGGCUAACUACGUG
rnacentral:rRNA from 1 species